CAACUACUCCCUCUGUCCCAAAUUUCUUGUCUUAGAUUUGUCUAGAUACGGAUGUUUCUAAUACUAAAAUGUGACUUGAUACAUCCGUAUCUAGGCAAAUCUAAGACAAGAAUUUUGGGACGGAGGGAGUACUUU
rnacentral:pre_miRNA from 1 species